AUGUGUAUCCUAAAAGAGAGGGGUGGCAUGGGAUUCUGAGAUGUCCAUUCUUUCAACCUUUCCAUGUUAGCUAAGCAAUGUUGGGGGUUCAUUGAGAAUUUUGAUUCCCUUUGUGCAAGAGUACUUUGAGCUAGAUAUUACCCCUCCGAUGACAUAUUGAACUGUACCUUGAACAAAGGGUCUUCAUUUGUGUGGCAGAGUAUCUUUGCAGGGAUAACUUUCAAGAAGGGGAGCAUUUGGAGAGCGGGAGAUGGUGUAAAUAUAAACAAGAUUGUUGGAUUCCUAAUAGGCCAACAAAGAAAGUAA
rnacentral:rRNA from 1 species